rnacentral:ncRNA from 1 species
CUCCGCCGACAAUACAUGCGGCGGGGCGGAAAGAG